GACGAACGCUGGCGGCGUGCUUAACACAUGCAAGUCGAACGGUGAAGCGCCUUCCUUUUUGGUGGGUGUGGAUGAGUGGCGAACGGGUGAGUAACACGUGAGUAACCUGCCCCCUUCUUCUGGAUAACCGCAUGAAAGUGUGGCUAAUACGGGAUAUUCUGGGUCUGUCGCAUGAUGGGUCUGGGAAAGAUAUUGUUUCGGUGGGGGAUGGGCUCGCGGCCUAUCAGCUUGUUGGUGGGGUGAUGGCCUACCAAGGCGGUGACGGGUAGCCGGCCUGAGAGGGUGGACGGUCACACUGGGACUGAGACACGGCCCAGACUCCUACGGGAGGCAGCAGUGGGGAAUAGUGCAGAAUGGGCGCAAGCCUGAUGAAGCGACGCCGCGUGAGGGAUGGAGGCCGUCGGGUUGUGAACCUCUUUCGCCAGUGAAGCAGGCCUGCCUCGUUUGUGGGUGGGUUGACGGUAGCUGGAUAAGAAGCGCCGGCUAACUACGU
rnacentral:rRNA from 1 species